rnacentral:lncRNA from 1 species
UAAUUUCUUUUUAAUGGGCAUCUCCUUAAAGUACAGAUGCCCAGACCCUACAACAGACCUACUGAAUCAGAGUCACCAGAGGUAGGACCUGGCCUCUGCAUAGUUAAAAAUAUUCCUGAAUGAUUCUGAAGCAUGGUCUACAGCCCAGCUAUUGAGAUGACUGCUGAAGUCGAUCCCAGCAUGACCAUUCUAAAGGAGAGACACAAUGUCUUAUCACCUGUGUUUUAUCUGAUUUUGAUUGGGAAUUCCAGUCUCUUAUUCUGUUGAAGACAUACUGAAACCAGAUAAAGGAUUUCAAGGCAAAGAACAGGAAACAGAUACAUAGCUAAAUCUCUUGCACUGCUAACUUCGUCUUGGUGUCUGCUUCCUGGAAGAUUCAACUGAUACGGGGGGAUGCCAAUGUCCCAGGUCUCAACCUGAAUAAAGACAGGGUCCUCAUAGUAAGACCUGGUCAACAGAAAAAUAGAAUAGACAGAAAGUGAAGAAGAGCAGAAGAGUCUUUAUUCUUCCGUAGUCACAAAAAUUAUAC